GAUGAAGAACGCAGCGAAAUGCGAUAAGUAAUGUGAAUUGCAGAAUUCAGUGAAUCAUCGAAUCUUUGAACGCACAUUGCGCCCGCCAGUAUUCUGGCGGGCAUGCCUGUCCGAGCGUCAUUUCAACCCUCGAACCCCUCCGGGGGGUCGGCGUUGGGGAUCGGCCCUGCCUCUUGGCGGUGGCUGUCUCCGAAAUACAGUGGCGGUCUCGCCGCAGCCUCUCCUGCGCAGUAGUUUGCACACUCGCAUCGGGAGCGCGGCGCGUCCACAGCCGUUAAACACCCAACUUCUGAAAUGUUGACCUCGGAUCAGGUAGGAAUACCCGCUGAACUUAAGCAUAUCAAUAAGCGGAGGA
rnacentral:misc_RNA from 1 species